AACGAAAAUCACCGCUAAAAAAAACAGGAGUUUGGGAAUACCGACGGAGUGCAGACGUCGACAUGACUGUUGUUCGCCAACACAAAAGGAGCAUUCACGCUUUGCAAAAUCGCCGCCGCAGACAAUGUGGUGGGCGAUGUCCGACCCGUGAAAUCUCUGGCUCUGACCUACUGGGCUUCGUAUAAUCUUUAUGAGAGUCACGGAGAGACUUAUGACAACGACUGGGAUGCAUCUGGGACAGCAGAGCCGGCGGGGACACUGUCACAGGGUGCAGAGGAAGAAGACCGGGAAGUUUGGGAGGGUUUGAUGCGCUACUUGAAAAGCUAAGUAAAAACUUUUGUUAUA